GAUGAACGCUGGCGGCGUGCUUAACACAUGCAAGUCGAACGAAGCACUUCAUAAAGUUUACUUUAAGAAGUGACUUAGUGGCGGACGGGUGAGUAACGCGUGGGUAACCUGCCUUACACAGGGGGAUAACAGUUAGAAAUGACUGCUAAUACCGCAUAAAACAGCAGAGUCGCAUGACUCAACUGUCAAAGAUUUAUCGGUGUAAGAUGGACCCGCGUCUGAUUAGCUGGUUGGUGGGGUAACGGCCUACCAAGGCGACGAUCAGUAGCCGGCCUGAGAGGGUGAACGGCCACAUUGGGACUGAGACACGGCCCAAACUCCUACGGGAGGCAGCAGUGGGGAAUAUUGGACAAUGGGCGAAAGCCUGAUCCAGCGACGCCGCGUGAGCGAUGAAGUAUUUCGGUAUGUAAAGCUCUAUCAGCAGGGAAGAAAACGACGGUACCUGACUA
rnacentral:rRNA from 1 species